GCCGUGUGGGGCCGGUGCUCCCGGGACUCCCAGCACAUCGCGCACAGCAGCCUCCUAUCUUACUACCAAUAGGAGUGCAGCUUCUCCCCGGUGCCUCGCACACAGCUUCUUCCCGCCCUGCUGUUCCUGGGCUGCGCUCCAAGCCACCCGCCCUCCUGCACCUUCAGCUGCUUGCUAGAUGUUCUCCACCAGGCUGACCAGCCGACGCCCUCCUUCUUGAACGGCUUCUUGCAGAGCAGACACGAGGGGCGCCACCCCCACCCCCCAGGCGGGGCGGACAUCGCUGGCGCAGCUGUGGCAGAAGACGUGGCCAUAGUCAAUGGUCACGGGGUCCCGCAGAUGACCAAGGCAGAUGGAUCAGGUCACCUCUUCCUCCAGGCUCCCCUCCGGGCUGGCCUGGCCAUGGUACCCGUAGCUCAGAGCGUUCUCAGCUCACCAGUGGGGCUUCUCCUUGGGGACCAGACACAGAGUCAAGAGCAGGCGCAGCAGCAGGGCAGAGGCGCGGUAGCCAGUGUAGGGCGCCGGCCCCAGACACCACCAGCUCCCAGGAGGCUCUCACGACCUCAGAGUGACAGGGACCUUGCCUAUCUCUAAUAGCUAGUUUUCAGGAAACCUAGUGCCUAGACUGGAGUUAACCAUUUCUGCCUCCUGUAUCAAACCCAAACUGUCACCAUGUUAAAGCUAGGUGUGUGGACCCAGGUUUGAGACUGACAUUUCUCUAAGGGAAAGGGAAUUCAAUUAGGCAAAUAUUUGUGAAGAUGAUGUUUGAGUAAAUAAUCAACAUCUCAAGAAUUCUUAAGAAACUAAUUUUGAAAUUUUUAUUCCUUCCCUUCCUCCCUCCCUCUCUCUCUCUCUCCCAAUGUUUUUUCCUUUUCAUUUUAUACACAGGGACUCUCUGUGUUGCCCAGGCUGGAAUGAAACUUCAGGCCUCAGGUGAUACUCCAGCUACAGCCUCCUGAGUUACUGGAAUUGUGAUUUUGAGCCACUGUGCCCACAUCUGAAUCUUCUUUGGAAAAACACUAAGAUAGUGUUCAUUUAAAGGCAUUAAUGUUAUGGCACUGAAGUCUUGGAACUCUUGGAUCCAGCUACAAUAUGUUCUCAACUUUGUAUCAACUUAUUGAAGAGAACAUUAUUAUUAAUGGCAUUUACAUGAAAAUCUCAGAGAUAUUAAUGUAUAUCCCUCCUCUGUCCCAAACUUCUUAUGCAGCACCCAAUGUUCUGUGAUGUCUGAAAAUUUUAAUCACUACUUGGAAAAGAGAAGUUUAAAGUAUUAAAGUAAAAUAAUCAGAGGAAAGAAGCAUUUGAUUUACAAAAUCCUGAAACAAUCACUUUCAUUUUGCUUUUGGCAUGUAUGCAAAGUCACUGAUACUCCUCCUUUCUGGAGGUGCAGCUUAAUUCCCUCCCUGUGAGUGUGGCCUGGACUUAAUGGUUCACUUCUGACAGAGCAACGCUGAUGUAAGUUUGUGACUCUGGUGUAGGACAUAAAACUCACUGUGGAUUCCACCCUGCUUCUCCCUUUCUGGGAUGACGAGCUCUGGGGAAGCCAGUUGGUUUGUCAUAAGCAGCCCUGUGCAAAGCUCCACAUUCUAGAAACUGAGGGCUCCUGGGACCAGCCAACAAGCAGCUGAGGCCUCUUCCAGCAGUCACGAGAGUGAGCCACGUUUCAUGCAAUCCCCAGCCCCAGUCCAGCCCUCAGAUGACACUGCCUGGCUGACAACUGGACAGCUACCCUGUGAGAAGCCCUGAGCCAGGAGCACUUAGUGAAACCUCUCCUGGAUUCCUGACCACCAGAAACUGUGGGAAAUAAUAAAUAUUUGUUGUUUUGAGCUGCUAUGUUUUGGGUAAUUUCAUACACAGCAGUAGAUAAUAGAAUUUGCAAAGAAAGAAUGAAUUAUGGCACUUUAAUUUUCAUUUUCUCUACAUGAAUUAUAAGAUAUUAAACAUAUCAUUUGGCCUUAGGAUGUAAGAAGAACUUCCAUGGCCAAAUAGGGUGUAUUUUAUUACCACUCAUAACUAUCCAUUUACUUGACCUUCUAUUUCCAGCUGUGACCCAACUGAACAGAAAAGGAAGAUCCGGGCAUGCUAGGCUGAUUCUGUGAUGUCCCGCAAUAACCACCCCCUGCUUAUUCACCUUCCCCCGGUUACUCAAUCACCACUAAUGUAGGUGCUGCUGGGAAGGGACUUGCAGAUAUAACUAAGGUCCAAAAUCAGUUGACUUUAAGACAAGGGAUUAUCCUGGAUUGGACUGUCCUAAUCCAGGUGAGCCCUUAAAAGGACUGGGUUCUUCCUAAGCAUGAGAUAAACAGUGUGAGAGGGACUCAUUGAGAGAAAAUUCCUUCGCUGUGGGCUUUGAAAGUGGAGAGGCUGUGUGGCAGGGAGUGCUGGGGGCACCAGAAAGUGGGAGCAGCCCCCCUUUACAUGAUAGCCAGCAAUGAAACAAGGACCUCCGUCCUACAACUGUCAGAAAUGGAAUUCUGCCCACAGGCUCCAUAUAAGCUUGGGGGAGGACCCAACCUCAAGAUGAGAAUACAGCUUUGUGAAACCCAGAGAACACAUCCGCACCAUGCCUAAUAAACGAAUAUCAUUUUUUCCACUGGAA